AAACAGGAGGAAUGUAAGAUAUAUAUAUAUAUAUAUAUAUAGAGAGAGAGAGAGAGAGAGAGAGAGUAGGGCUACUAUACUCUUAUGAGUAUAGAAUCCUUACUAUUCAUAAGUUGUUUUCGAUGUUUGAGUUUUCGAAUCGACGAUCCACACCGUUAAACAUGAUCUAGAGUAUUUGAAAUUUCUAGAAAAUAAAUUUUAUAAAUUUUCGAAAUCAUUAUAAAGUCCAUCAAGUGAGUAUAAAAUGAACGGUUAAAAUCGAAUGACAUCCUAAAAAUGGAUGAUCGGAUCUUUAAAUUUAAGAUCGGAGUUAUUGAUCUUUAUAUUUAGGUAGUGAAUAAAAUUUUCUAUUAAAAAUUCAACCUAUUUUGAUUCUUUUUCACCGUUAAACUAGCAAGUAUCUUAUACCGGCCGUUAAAAAUUGACAAUUUUGUGACCUUUUGAUCGUAAGGCAAAUGAUGUCGAAAAAUUAUAAAAUUUAAUUUUUAAAAGUUUUAAAUGCUCUAGAUAAUGUUUAACGGUAUGAAUUGUCGAUUAGGAAGCUCUAUCAUCGAAAUCAACUUAUGAGUAUAAGGGCGAUCGUACUCAUAAGAGUAUAGUAGCCAGACUAUAUAUAUAUAUAUAUAUAUA
rnacentral:lncRNA from 1 species